CGACGUCGGAGCAGUGGGGUGCGGAUGAGCUCCCGCUCAUCCUUUGCAUUGAUUGUGGGCUCCGGCAAGUGGUGCGGCGCAGAUCGAAGCAGGAAUGGAGCUUUGGGAAGGUGUUCUACUGCUGCCCGUUGCACAAGCGUGAUGGAAGUGGAUGCCCUUUUUGGUUCUGGGAAGAAGAUUACGUUGUCAAGCUUAGGAGUCUUGGGUUGCUGAAAGGAGGCAGUUCAACGCAGCUGGAAGGCCCUAUUGCAGCCCCAAGGAUGGAGUUUCUGCAUGCUAGAGAAGGAGAAUGGAAGAAGAAGAAUGCCACUGAAAUAGUUAGGUUGCUAAAGUCAAUAUGUGUUGUAUGUGUAUCUAUUCUGUGUGUGCAAUGUGUGAUGCUGUUGCUCUUAGUGUUUAAGAACUAAACAUGGAAUGUAUCGAAGCUAUUAGCAUGUAUGAACUGAGCUUGAAUUGUGAGAACCA